GGGGCUUUAGCUCAGUUGGCUAGAGUACUUGUCUGGCAGACAAGGGGUCAGGGGUUCGAAUCCCCUAAGCUCCACCA
rnacentral:tRNA from 2 species